rnacentral:rRNA from 1 species
UACGGGGGGAGCAAGCGUUGUUCGGAUUUACUGGGCGUAAAGGGCGCGUAGGCGGCCACGACAAGUCACUUGUGAAAUCUCCGGGCUUAACUCGGAAAGGUCAAGUGAUACUGUCGGGCUAGAGUGCAGAAGGGGCAACUGGAAUUCUCGGUGUAGCGGUGAAAUGCGUAGAUAUCGAGAGGAACACCUGCGGCGAAGGCGGGUUGCUGGGCUGACACUGACGCUGAGGCGCGAAAGCUAGGGGAGCGAACGGG